AACGAACGCUGGCGGCAUGCCUAACACAUGCAAGUCGAACGAGACCUUCGGGUCUAGUGGCGCACGGGUGCGUAACGCGUGGUAACCUGCCCUUAGGUUCGGAAUAACUCACCGUGAGGGGUGCCCAUACCGGAUAAUGUCUUCGGGCCAACGAGUUAUCGCCUUUGGAUGGGCCCGCGUUGGAUUAGCUAGUUGGUAGGGUAACAGCCUACCAAGGCGACGAUCCAUAGCUGGAGUGCGAGGAUGAUCAGCCACACUGGGACUGAGACACGGCCCAGACGCCUGCGGGAGGCAGCAGUGGUGAAUAAUGGGCAAAGGGCGAAAGCCUGAACCAGCAGUGCCGGGUGAGUGAUGAAGGCCUGAGGGUUGUAUAGCGCUUUUACCCAGCAUGAUGAGAAGAGUACCGGAGGAAAAAGCCCCGCCUAACUCCGG
rnacentral:rRNA from 1 species